GGGGGCGACUGGCUUCGACGGGGUUGGUGAAGCCGUGGCCGCGUGCCCAGGUCCUCGAGCCCUGGUUAAUCCCUCGGGAACGAUUCACAACUGCCAACUCUGAAAUGGCACUGGCUGCGUAACUUUUAGUUGCGCACCUGCCCGGUCUGAAGCUCGCCUGAGGCGUCUGCCGGGUAUCGCAAAUUCGGGCUGGCUUGGCGCCGCGUCUCCCGGCGUUGAGCGAGAUCUGGCGAGACUCAUCUGAGCGUGGGCCGUCCGCCGGCCAGCACUCGGAGACAUUCAAUGGCGGACUACGCACGUAGACGCUGUGGUCGAUCCAUUCUCGGACCGGGGUUCAAUUCCCCGCGCA
rnacentral:tmRNA from 1 species